rnacentral:tRNA from 1 species
UAGAUUGAAGCCAGUUGUUAGGGUAUUUAGCUGUUAACUAAUAUUUUAUGGGUUCGAAUCCCAUCAAUCUAG